rnacentral:rRNA from 1 species
UACGUAGGGGGCGAGCGUUGUCCGAAGUUACUGGGCGUAAAGCGCACGUAGGCGGCCUUGUAAGUUACAUUUGAAAGCUGGCAGCUCAACUGUCGAACGUGGUGUAAUACUGCAAGGCUUGAGGCAAUCAAAAGAAUGUGGAACUCCGAGUGUAGCGGUGGAAUGCGUAGAGAUUCGGAGGAACACCCAUGGCGAAGGCAGCAUUCUGGGAUUGACCUGACGCUGAGGAGCGAAAGCCAGGGGAGCGAACGGG